rnacentral:rRNA from 1 species
UACGAAGGGGGCUAGCGUUGUUCGGAAUUACUGGGCGUAAAGGGCGUGUAGGCGGGGCGGCAAGUCAGAUGUGAAAUCCCAUGGCUUAACUGUGGAGCUGCAUCUGAAACUGUCGUUCUUGAGUGUCGGAGAGGAAAGUGGAAUUCCCAGUGUAGCGGUGAAAUGCGUAGAGAUUGGGAGGAACACCAGUGGCGAAGGCGAUCAGCUGGGCCUGUCCUGACGCUCAGGCACGAAAGCGUGGGGAGCAAACAGG